UGGGGAAUAUUGGACAAUGGGCGCAAGCCUGAUCCAGCCAUGCCGCGUGAGUGAUGAAGGUCCUAGGGUUGUAAAGCUCUUUCGCCGGUGAAGAUAAUGACGGUAACCGGUAAAGAAGCCCCGGCUAACUUCGUGCCAGCAGCCGCGGUAAUACGAAGGGGGCUAGCGUUGUUCGGAAUUACUGGGCGUAAAGCGCGCGUAGGCGGGUCAUUAAGUCAGGGGUGAAAUCCCGGGGCUCAACCUCGGAAUUGCCUCUGAUACUGGUGACCUCGAGUCCGAGAGAGGUGAGUGGAAUUCCGAGUGUAGAGGUGAAAUUCGUAGAUAUUCGGAAGAACACCAGUGGCGAAGGCGACUCACUGGACAGUUAUUGACGAUGAGGUGCGAAAGCGAGGAGAGCAAACAGG
rnacentral:rRNA from 1 species